UGUUUAGUAUGAAAGUGUUAGUAAAAGUCAGGUAGCACCUCGAACCCCGUCCCGGCGUCGGAUGCAGGCGAGGGGUGUUACAAAAGAAGCUCGACCAGAUCUAAAAGGACUUGGUAAGUACUUUUCCCCCUUUCUUCUUUAUUUGAAAAGCAACUCAAAUCUCAUGUUAUUUUCUUAAAAAAAAAAACAAGAAGAAAUUCAUAAAAUACAAAGACUUUCAACAUUGCUUGGCCUCUCGCCCUCACAUCCGCAUAGCAGGAGUAUUUGGGGCUCUCAUCGGCUUUCAAUCGCGUAAAGAAAAUGAGCAAACUAAGAAAAUCAAUUUAGAACAGUAAAAAAAAAGCAAAAAAAAAGUGAAAUCACCUCUAUUAAUUUUCUAUUGCUUUUCUUCUAUUCUUUGUGAGUGUGCACAGAUACAAUAUGCAUAGAGUGUGCGUAAUCUCUUCGUGAAAAAUUUGCAGGAUCAUCCGUACGGAGGAGCGGGGAGAGGCAUGCGUGAAAGAAGCCGUGUGAGGAAACCCCUCGUGAGACCCAACCCCUUGGCACUGUUCUGGCAUGUUCCAGAAGCUUCUAGUGCUUGGCUGCUGGAAUUCUUUUUGAAUUUGGGCUAUACGGGCUAGGGGUUUAUGAAUUUGGGUAUUUGGGCUGGUAUAAAUUCUUUAUCUGGGCCUAAAAAAUUUGUAAAAGGACAUUGGUAUUUGGAUUUUUAUUUGUGUGUUUUUUUAUUUUUGGUUUUUUAAUUUCUAUGUUUUUAUUCUAAUGGGCCCGGGCGAAAUGGGCCUAUUACAAUGUAUAAAGUGAAAAUCCCUAAGGACUCUUAUUUUGUAAAUAUACACUUCUCAACCAUUUAUGUAA